rnacentral:rRNA from 1 species
CGCGUAGGCGGUUUUGUUAAGUCGGAUGUGAAAGCCCCGGGCUCAACCUGGGAACUGCACCCGAUACUGGCCGACUAGAGUACGAGAGAGGGAGGUAGAAUUCCACGUGUAGCGGUGAAAUGCGUAGAUAUGUGGAGGAAUACCGGUGGCGAAGGCGGCCUCCUGGCUCGAUGCUGACGCUGAGGUGCGAAAGCGUGGGGAGCAAACA